UCAAACUAAAAGCUGAAACAAGACGUUGUUCAUUGAAGUAUGUACAAUUGCCGUACGUCGUAUAAAUUAAUUCCAAGAAAGAAAUAUACCUCCUACUUCCAAAUUUCAAGAAUGCCGAAAAUAAAGAAGUUUUGUGUACCUGGAUGUACCGAUGAGACAAGUGUAAGACAUCGUUUCCCUAAGAGAAAUUUGGAUAUUUUCGAUAACUGGCUCUAAAUCAUCAAACCAAAAAAUUGGCAAGAAUUAAGUGGUGAAAAAAUAUAUUGUCAAGAAUUGGGGGACAUGGAUUUUAUUCAGGUACGGCAGUACAAAUAUGGAAAGUUGACAAAUCCUAGGCAGUGUGUAUCAUUUAAUUAUAUAAUUCCGCGAAUUUGUGAGAAGAAAAACAUUUCCCUCUAUUUAAAAUCGUUUUUGAUGAAAAAUUUAGAAUUCAAAAUAUUUAUUUAAUCGGAUUGGGGGAAAAAGUAUGUGAAACCAUUAUAAGGUGUUCCUUGCACUGGUGGUGCAAGCAGGUAAAUGAAAUUAUGAAUGGUACCGACACAAAAUUUUGUAAAUUCCUUCAAACUUCCCCUUGUGAAGAAUUUGUAGAUCCCAUCAAA